ACGGGUGAGUAACACGUGAGUAACCUGCCCUUGACUCUGGGAUAAGCCUGGGAAACUGGGUCUAAUACCGGAUACGACCAUCUGGCGCAUGUCAUGGUGGUGGAAAGCUUUUGUGGUUUUGGAUGGACUCGCGGCCUAUCAGCUUGUUGGUGGGGUAAUGGCCUACCAAGGCGACGACGGGUAGCCGGCCUGAGAGGGUGACCGGCCACACUGGGACUGAGACACGGCCCAGACUCCUACGGGAGGCAGCAGUGGGGAAUAUUGCACAAUGGGCGCAAGCCUGAUGCAGCGACGCCGCGUGAGGGAUGACGGCCUUCGGGUUGUAAACCUCUUUCAGUAGGGAAGAAGCCGUAAGGUGACGGUACCUGCAGAAGAAGCGCCGGCUAACUACGUGCCAGCAGCCGCGGUAAUACGUAGGGCGCAAGCGUCAUCCGGAAUUAUUGGGCGUAAAGAGCUCGUAGGCGGUUUGUCGCGUCUGCUGUGAAAGACCGGGGCUCAACUCCGGUUCUGCAGUGGGUACGGGCAGACUAGAGUGCAGUAGGGGAGACUGGAAUUCCUGGUGUAGCGGUGAAAUGCGCAGA
rnacentral:rRNA from 1 species